AGGUACGGCCUCCCCGAGGCGGGGGCGGGAAUCGGCCGGCGCCGAGGGUCGGCUGGUGCCCUGCCCUCUGUCCUUCCCACUCGCCCCGCCCGUGGUUCCCCUGGGCCUGGGUCCGCCCGCGACGGCCCCCAAGCUCCCACUGGGGCCUGGAGGACAGAGUUUACCAGAGAGACCCCCUUGUUGGAGAUCUCCCGCUGGAGGACGCGGCCGCGUCGCUGAAUUUGCCCGAAAGUGGGAGUAGGAGUUCUCCUGCCUGUCACUCUCAGUCAAGCCUCGUGAAUUUCUCUAGUUCACUUCUACACGCGCCCUCCGCAGUCUCUUCAAAUUGUCAUCCCACCCUGACAGCUGCACUGCAUCAGUGGUGACAGGUCCAGGAACGCAGGCAGUGAAAAGAAGAGAUUGGACCUGGAAAAGAAACUUUAUGAACAUAAUCAAUCUGACAUAUGCAGCCUCUCAUUAAAAUCAAAUUCCACUGGGAGAAAUUACACACUUGCACCGUGAUUGGGAAGAACAGGCCGCGUUCACUCAACCACUGAUGGAACUGGAGGGUCAUCAGACGAGACUCGCAAACACCGUGUGUUCUUUAGGAGCAGACUGAAGCCGUUGACCUCUAGGGUGAUUGUGAAAGGAAUUUGGGCUCCGUCACUGUUUCUGAAUAAGUCAGAACAGUCCAGCACUUACUCCUUGGCAAUGCGGAAGAUGACCAGUGUCCAGGUGCUGUGGGGUUGAGACCUCUAUCACUCAGGGCAUCCUGCCAGGCAGAGGGGGCUGGCCUGGUGGCCACUAGACCUUUAUCAGAUGUGGGAUUUGCAAAUAUUUUCUGCCAUUUUGGAUUGUGGAUUAUCUUUUUUCCUUCUUAAUAUUCUCCUUUUAUGCACAAAAGUUUUUCAUUUUGAAGUCCAAUUUGUCUAAUUUUUCUUUUGUUACUUGUGCUUUUGGUGUUAUAUCUAAGAAAUCAUUGCCAAAUUCAAGUCACAAAGAUUUACUCCUAUG